CCGAUCCCCGGGGGUCCCCAGCCCCACACCAAAAGAUCCCAGACCCACACCCCGAUCCUGAGGGUCCCAGCCCCACACUGAGAGGUCCCAGCCCCACAACAAGGGGUCCCAGCCCCACAUCUUGCUUCCCGGGGGUCCCCGCCCCACACCGAGGGGUCCCAGCCCCACAUCCCGCUCCCCAUCCCCACAGCGAGGGGUCCCAGCCCCAUAACAAGGGGUCCCAGCCCCACAUCCAGGGGUCCCAGCCCCACACCAAGGGGUCCCAGCCCCACAUCCUGCUUCCCUCCCAGCUCCACAGCCCACUCCCCAAGGUCCCCAGCCCCACAGCAAAGGGUCCCAGCCCCACAUCCCACUCCCCGGAGGUCCCCAGCCCCACAGCGAGGGGUCCCAGCUCCACACGAAAAGGUCCCAGCCCCACACCUUACUCCCCAAGGGUCCCCAGCCCCACAAUGAUGGGUUCCAGCCCCACAUCCCGAUCCCGGGGGUCCCAGCCCCACAAGUGGUCCCCAGCCCCACAUCAAAAGGUCCCAGCCCCACACCAAGGGGUCCCAGCCCCGCACCAAAGGGUCCCCAGACCCACACCAAGGGGUCCCCAGCCCCACACCCAGGGGUCCCAGCCCCACACCAAGGGGUCCCAGCCCCACACCCUGAUCCCCGGGGGGUCCCAGCCCCACAUCGAGGGGUCCCAGCCCCACAACAAGGGGUCCCAGCCCCACAACAAGGGGUCCCCAGCCCCACACCCCGCUCUCCAGGGAUCCCAGCCCCACGUCUUGCUUCCCGGGGGUCCCCAGCCCCAUACCCAGGGGUCCCAGCCCCAC
rnacentral:lncRNA from 1 species